rnacentral:sRNA from 1 species
ACCUAAACCUGAUGGGACGGAUGCCGAUUCUUCAUCGGCAGGAGGUACAGCAGGACCAACC